rnacentral:snoRNA from 2 species
GAUUGGCUUAGUUAGGAGGCAUAAAAUAAUCUGAUCUUUUCAAUACUUUUCUGUAUUGGUUUGAUCUUAAUGACUUGAGGUCUUUUGAGGAGGAGCUCUGCUUUCUUGCUGCUUCUCCCAAGCAGCCUCAGACAUUA